rnacentral:rRNA from 1 species
GGCGCAUAAGCUAAUUUGUGGGGUAACGGCCCACCAAGGCGACGAUGUGUACCCGACCUGAGAGGGUGAACGGCCACACUGGGACUGAGACACGGCCCAGACUCCUACGGGAGCCAGCAGUAGGGAAUCUUCCGCAAUGGGCGAAAGCCUGACGGAGCAACGCCGCGUGAGUGAUGAAGGUUUUCGGAUCGUAAAGCUCUGUUGCCAAGGAAGAACGUCUUCUAGAGUAACUGCUAGGAGAGUGACGGUACUUGAGAAGAAAGCCCCGGCUAACUACGUGCCAGCAGCCGCGGUAAUACGUAGGGGGCAAGCGUUGUCCGGAAUUAUUGGGCGUAAAGCGCGCGCAGGCGGUUCUUUAAGUCAGGUGUUUAAACCCGAGGCUCAACUUCGGGUCGCACUGGAAACUGGGGAACUUGAGUGCAGAAGAGGAGAGUGGAAUUCCACGUGUAGCGGUGAAAUGCGUAGAUAUGUGGAGGAACACCAGUGGCGAAGGCGACUCUCUGG